rnacentral:rRNA from 1 species
AUGAACGCUGGCGGCGUGCCUCAUCCAUGCCAGUCGAGCGAACAGACGAGGUGCUUGCUCCUCUGACGUUAGCGGCGGACGGGUGAGUAACACGUGGAUAACCUACCUAUAAGACUGGGAUAACUUCGGGAAACCGGAGCUAAUACCGGAUAAUAUAUUGAACCGCAUGGUUCAAUAGUGAAAGACGGUUUUGCUGUCACUUAUAGAUGGAUCCGCGCCGCAUUAGCUAGUUGGUAAGGUAACGGCUUACCAAGGCAACGAUGCGUAGCCGACCUGAGAGGGUGAUCGGCCACACUGGAACUGAGACACGGUCCAGACUCCUACGGGAGGCAGCAGUAGGGAAUCUUCCGCAAUGGGCGAAAGCCUGACGGAGCAACGCCGCGUGAGUGAUGAAGGUCUUCGGAUCGUAAAACUCUGUUAUUAGGGAAGAACAAAUGUGUAAGUAACUAUGCACGUCUUGACGGUACCUAAUCAGAAAGCCACGGCUAACUACGUG